rnacentral:antisense_RNA from 1 species
GCAACUGAUGCAUCUUCUAACCAGGCUGGGAACACAACACGCGCACACGCGCACACACACACGCACGCACCCACCCCACCCGGCUGCCGGACGCAAGCGUAAGUCAAGGCACUUGCAUGUUAGAAUCAGACAGAAAAUCCAGAAAAGCCACGUUAUUUAACAGAACCCUACAAGGUCAGCUUUGAGUCAAAGCAGACCACAUUUCUCUCGGCCCUCGCGAGUGAGGUCGCCAAAUACUCGACGCCUCAAGAGCGAGCCGAGGAGGCAGAGGCCGACCAAGCCGGCCUCUCGGCAGCCCUGCCCGGCGCCCCGCGGAGAACGCCCGGGUGCGGCUCGAGGGAAGUUGUGUCAAGUCCCACGCGCGGCCCGCGGAGAACCCAGCGGCGGCCCGCGCGCGUCGGCCUAGCGGGGAGGGCUGCUCCGGGACACGGUGCGGCGGCCGCGGGCGAGUUGGACGCGCUAGCAGAGCCGGGCCGAAGGCGGCGGGCGUCUCCGGGCAGCCAUGUUCGCGGCGCCCGCCCGCGCAGCAGGACGGAGCCCUGACAGCAAUGUUUGCUACGGCCUCCCUCUGCAGUCAGCCUAAAGCAAGGAGCUGGAGGUAGAUGAGGCAAAGGUAAAGGAGACCAAAACAGUAUUUUAAAGAAAAAAUCAUUUAUCUUCAAAUAGGCUCCAAACCUAAGAUGGUGUAUACUGUUAGAGGACAAGAACCUGCUUCUAGCCAUCUUUGCGUCUCCAGGACCUGACUUGUGACCAUUCAAUAAGAAUUUGAUAGAUGGACAGAUUAAUGAAUAGAUGAAGAUGAUUAGAAGCCAAAAUUUCUGAAUCUUCCUAGCAUCCAGAACAUGGCUUAACAUCAAGGAAAUGCUCACUAAAUACUGUCAUAAUGGAAUGAAU